ACUGAACGCUGGCGGCGUGCCUAAUACACGCCAGUCGCAGGAAGUGGCGCACGGGUGAGCAAUCUAUAGCUAAACUGCCCCUUGCUGGAGGACAACCGUCAGAAAUGAUUGCUAAUACUCCAUAGCUAUGUAUGAGACUAUAUCGUAUCAGCUAGUCGGUGGGGUAACGGCCUACCGAGGCUAUGACGCGUAACUGGUCUGAGAGGAUGAUCAGUCACAUUGGUAGUGGGAAACGUUCCAAACGCCUACGGGAGGCAGCAGUUGGUAAUAGUGCACAAUGGGGGGAACCCUGGCGCACCAACGCCGAGUGGAGCAUGACACUUGUCGGAGCUUAAACUUCGUUUGUUAGGGAAGCGGUGCCUAACGAAUAAGCACCGGCUUACUCCGUGCCAGCAGCCGCGGUAAUAC
rnacentral:rRNA from 1 species